rnacentral:rRNA from 1 species
AUACGUAGGUGGCAAGCGUUGUCCGGAAUUAUUGGGCGUAAAGCGCAUGUAGGCGGUUUGGUAAGUCGGUCGUGAAAAUGCGGUGCUUAACGCCGUAUGGCGAUUGAAACUGCUGAACUUGAGUGCGGGAGAGGAAAGGGGAACUCCCAGUGUAGCGGUGAAAUGCGUAGAUAUUGGGAAGAACACCGGUGGCGAAGGCGCCUUUCUGGACUGUGUCUGACGCUCAGAUGCGAAAGCCAGGGUAGCGAACGGGAUUAGAUGCCCGGGUAGUCCUGGCCGUAAACGAUGGGUACUAGGUGUGGGAGGUAUCGACUCCUUCCGUGCCGGAGUUAACGCAAUAAGUACCCCGCCUGGGGAGUACGGCCGCAAGGCUUAAACUCAAAGGAAUUGACGGGG